rnacentral:lncRNA from 10 species
GGGAAGGGAGGAGAGUGAGGAUUCUAGAGCAGCAAGCUCUUCAUAUACCAAAUCUAGCCCACCUACUUUUGUACAACCUGUAAGCUAAGAGUGGUUUAUUACAUUUUUAAGUGGUUGGAAAAAACUCAAAAGAAUAUCUUGUAACAUAUGAAAAUGACAUGACAUCCAAAUUUUAGCACUCACACAAUUUGACUGGAAUAUAGCCCUGCCCAUUUCUUACAUAUUGUUCAGUAGCUGUUUUCAUCCUGCAGCAGCAGUUGAGUAGCUGCAGCAGAGAGUGUAUGGCUUGCAAAGCUUCACAUAUUUCUUCUUUUUUUUUUUUUCUGAGACGGAGUCUCACUCUGUCGCCAGCUUCACAUAUUUCUAUAAAUAGUCCUUUAUAGGAAAAGCUUACUGACCACUAGUCUAGGUGACUUGUAAAUUUCUGGCCAGUGUCACUGGAUAGGAAGGGGUGUCCUCAACUGAGACGGAGAACAGAGGAGGAGGAGCAGGUUGAGAGGAAAGAGGAGCAUGGUGAUUGUGAGGUGCCUGUGGAUCACCUAAGGAGAGAAGCUCAGCAAACAGCUGGGUGUCAGGCUCUCGAACUUGGAGAGAGGCCCCACUGUAAACUGAGUAGGUGAAUUUCGCCAUUCUUCCACUACUCCAGAAGUGAAUUUCUAAAUUUUCAGAGUCUCUUCCCAUUAAUUUGGUAAGGGGCUUAAAGCUCUAAUUUUAUCUUCAAUCUCAGUAGUUGGUUUAGAAAUAAAGUCUUACUGUCUUAUAGAAUCCUAAAGACAUGGCACAGGGUGGAUGAAGACUACAGGGCUUUUAAGAAUUUGAGAAGCUGGAGUUAUCUACAAUUUAGUCUGCCAUCUUACUAGGAUGUAAGGGCUUAUGGCUGUUCAAAAGCUGCAACUUUGCCUUUUCCUGUUUAAAUUAUAGCUUAGUGCUGCGGAAAAGGCAUGAAUGGAUCUUCUGAUUUUGGUGCUCUAGGUUGCACAUAGGCAGAGGGAAGAAAACUGAAACCAAAAAGGCAGCUUUUUUUUUCUUUUUUUUUUGAGACGGAGUCUUGCUCUGCUGCCAGGCUGGAGUGCAGUGGCGUGGUCUUGGCUCACUGCAACCUCCG